UCGCACCUACCGAUUGAGUGUUCCGGUGAAGCCUCGGGAUUGCCGUUUACUUCUUCGGAUGCAGACAGCAAGAACUUGUCUAAACCUUAUCACUUAGAGGAAGGUG
rnacentral:rRNA from 1 species